GAUGAACGCUGGCGGCGUGCUUAACACAUGCAAGUCGAACGGAAAGGCCCAAGCUUGCUUGGGUACUCGAGUGGCGAACGGGUGAGUAACACGUGGGUGAUCUGCCCUGCACUUCGGGAUAAGCCUGGGAAACUGGGUCUAAUACCGGAUAGGACGAUGGUUUGGAUGCCAUUGUGGAAAGUUUUUUCGGUGUGGGAUGAGCUCGCGGCCUAUCAGCUUGUUGGUGGGGUAAUGGCCUACCAAGGCGUCGACGGGUAGCCGGCCUGAGAGGGUGUACGGCCACAUUGGGACUGAGAGACGGGCCAGACUCCUACGGGAGGCAGCAGGGGGGAAUAUUGCACAAUGGGCGCAAGCCUGAUGCAGCGACGCCGCGUGGGGGAUGACGGCCUUCGGGUUGUAAACUCCUGUCGCUAGGGACGAAGCGUUUUUGUGACGGUACCUGGAGAAGAAGCACCGGCUAACUACGUG
rnacentral:rRNA from 1 species